GGGUUGUGAGGUUAAGCGACUAAGCGUACACGGUGGAUGCCCUGGCAGUCAGAGGCGAUGAAGGACGUGCUAAUCUGCGAUAAGCGCCGGUAAGGUGAUAUGAACCGUUAUAACCGGCGAUUUCCGAAUGGGGAAACCCAGUGUGACUCGUCACACUAUCAUUAACUGAAUCCAUAGGUUAAUGAGGCGAACCGGGGGAACUGAAACAUCUAAGUACCCCGAGGAAAAGAAAUCAACCGAGAUUCCCCCAGUAGCGGCGAGCGAACGGGGAGGAGCCCAGAGCCUGAAUCAGCAUGUGUGUUAGUGGAAGCGUCUGGAAAGGCGCGCGAUACAGGGUGAC
rnacentral:rRNA from 6 species